AGUGAACGCUGGCGGCAGGCCUAACACAUGCAAGUCGAGCGGCAGCGGGUUCUUCGCGAUGCCGGCCGGCGGCGGACGGGUGAGGGAUACAUCGGAAUCUGCCCUUCUGCGUGUGCUUACCUAGGGAAACUUAGGCUCAUACCGCAUUCGACCUACGGGCGAAAGCGGGGGAUCGCAAGACCUCGCGCGACAGCGCGAGCGGAUGUCCGAUUAGCUAGUUGGCGGGGUAAAGGCCCACCAAGGCGACGAUCGGUAGCUGGUCUGAGAGGAUGAUCAGCCACACUGGAACUGAGACACGGCCCAGACUCCUACGGGAGGCAGCAGUGGGGAAUAUUGGACAAUGGGCGCAAGCCUGAUCCAGCCAUGCCGCGUGGGUGAAGAAGGCCUUCGGGUUGUAAAGCCCUUUUGUCGGGGAAGAAAAGGUCUGGGCUAAUACCCCGGGGGGAUGACGGUACCGGAAGAAUAAGCACCGGCUAACUUCGUG
rnacentral:rRNA from 1 species